UGCAGUCGAGCGAGACCUUCGGGUUUAGCGGCGGACGGGUUAGUAACGCGUGGGAACGUGCCCUUCUCUAAGGAAUAGCCACUGGAAACGGUGAGUAAUACCUUAUACGCCCUUCGGGGGAAAGAUUUAUCGGAGAAGGAUCGGCCCGCGUUAGAUUAGGUAGUUGGUGGGGUAAUGGCCUACCAAGCCUACGAUCUAUAGCUGGUUUUAGAGGAUGAUCAACAACACUGGGACUGAGACACGGCCCAGACUCCUACGGGAGGCAGCAGUGGGGAAUCUUGGACAAUGGGCGCAAGCCUGAUCCAGCCAUGCCGCGUGAGUGAUGAAGGCCUUAGGGUCGUAAAGCUCUUUCGCCAGGGAUGAUAAUGACAGUACCUGGUAAAGAAACCCCGGCUAACUCCGUGCCAGCAGCCGCGGUAAU
rnacentral:rRNA from 1 species